CAGCGGCGGACGGGUGAGUAACACGUGGGCAACCCACCUGGGGGACCGGGAUAACGGCUCGAAAGGGCCGCUAAUACCGGAUACGCUCCCCGGGACACAAGUCCUGGGGAGGAAAGGCGGCGCAAGCUGUCACUCCCAGACGGGCCCGCGGCCCAUUAGCUAGUUGGCGGGGUAACGGCCCACCAAGGCGAUGAUGGGUAGCCGGUCUGAGAGGAUGAUCGGCCACACGGGGACUGAGACACGGCCCCGACUCCUACGGGAGGCAGCAGUGGGGAAUCUUCCGCAAUGGGCGAAAGCCUGACGGAGCAACGCCGCGUGGGGGACGAAGGCCUUCGGGUCGUAAACCCCUGUCAUGGGGAAAGAAGGGCCUCGGGGUGAAUACCCCCGGGGUCUGACGGUACCCCAAGAGGAAGCCACGGCCAACUCCGUGCCAGCAGCCGCGGUAAUACGGAGGUGGCAAGCGUUGUUCGGAAUUACUGGGCGUAAAGGGCGCGUAGGCGGGGAGGCAAGUCGGGUGUGAAAUCCCUCGGCUCAACCGAGGAACGGCGCCCGAAACUGCUUCUCUUGAGUCCCGGAGAGGAAGGUGGAAUUCCCGGUGUAGCGGUGAAAUGUGUAGAGAUCGGGAGGAACACCGGUGGCGAAGGCGGCCUUCUGGACGGUGAC
rnacentral:rRNA from 1 species